rnacentral:lncRNA from 1 species
CUCCUCUUGCUCCUCCCGGGCGGGGAAACCCAGCCCCGCGCUCGUCUUUGGGGCCACCGGUCGCCCCCGCCUCCGGGACCUGCGGGGAGGGCCCGCGAGAGAUGGAGACGAGAGAUCUGGACUUCUGAACAUCUACCGGAAAAGAUAAAAUGUGCAAGCCCUUCAGAACGCUGGGGAGGUUGGGCUGAACUGCAGUGGGAGAGGAGAAGAGAUGCUGGCGUGAAGGGCUGGGGCAGAAGAUCAGGGGAAAAUUGCGGAUGAUCUGAAUGAUAGCAGUGACCACCAGCAACCUACAGAGCUGCCCAACCAGGAAAUUGUCAGAUGGAAGCAACGCUUGCAGGCAAAGAAGGCUGAAGCAGGCCAAGGCAGGAAUGAAACAGUCAUAAAUGUUGGAGUGAAGCGACUGACCUCCCCGGUCCACACCCCGGCCCAGCGUCCUGCAUCUGCUGGAGGAUGGUGGAGACCAUGUGGAGGAUGGGGACUUGGCAGUGGAGGAGAACAUGGAAGCAGGAUAUGGCAGUCCCCUAGCGUCCCAGCCACAAGUCCUCUGAAGAGUGUGGAUGACGAUGGUGACUUAGGUGCAUCCUUCGAAUGUCCUGAGGGGGAGACUGGAGAAGCAGACACGCAAUUGUGGGAAGAAAUCAAAGGCAUAAAGAACUCACAGCACAAGUCCAAAGUCUGAUCAGCGAGCAGGCCUCUCUGCAGGGUGCAAGGGCACAGCUGGAGAGGGAGCUCCCGAAGCUACAGCCGACGCUUCCUGUUCUGCCUGAUCUCCACCGAGAACACAUGAUGGGGCCUCAUGGGAGUCCACAGAGGAGGACGCCUACUGCCUGGACCUUGAGCAGAGACUUCACAAGGUGCACACAUACAUGAACCACAUGUCACAACCCACAACCACUACAAGAAGAUGGCCCAAGACCUGGCCCAGAAAUUGAAGAAAGACACUUCCAGUUUUCAGAGGGAGAUCCUCUGCCACAAGAGAACAGCCCAGGAAAGCUAGAUGGCCGCUGCGACCACUGAGAUAGAACUCCAGGUGCUGCAGAAAGAAAAUGACUA